ACGGGGGCAGAUCCCCUCCCUGUGGCAUCCCCCCAGGCUGAGGCCGCCUUGGAGGACAGUCCAGGGUGAGGCCAGGACCGGCCCUGGGAGGGCCAGAGCCCUUGCCUGGACGCCUCCCAGGAGUAAGAGACCUCAGAGGCCCUGAGUGCAACUUUGUGCUCUGAGCCAGUGGGCGUCACGCGCACCAGGAGCCUGGUAAAUGGGCACGAUGGGCCAUGUCCAUUAUCUCCAGGUCAGGGCCACUGACACCUGGGGCAAAUGCAGCCACGUGGGGGGUGGGGGGUGGCGCGGCACGGGCCCAGCCACCGGGCCUCCUGAGCUUCAGUUUCCUCGGUGAAGAUGGGCUUGUUCCCCUGACGCUUGUCUCCUUCACAGGAGGUAUCGGUCUGUGGACCGGAAGUUGGGGAUGGCUAACAUGAAGAACCUUAAUUCAUCAAGUGUCCACAAGCAACUCACUUGCAGAUGGAAGUAGAGAUAGCGGUUUGUAUCCAGCAGCUCUGGGUGGAGGCUGUUGAUGAGCGCUAUGGCCUCCUGAAUCUGGCCUUUCAGUAUCAUCUCACGGAUUUUGAUUCGCUCGUCAAGUGUUUCUAGAUCAACGCUGGGUUCAAUCCCAGAUUCCAUUCGAAACUUCUCCGCUGCCUCCUUAAAGCCCUCUGGAAAAGAAAACUACCUUCAACUGCUUGGAAAAUCAAUCUCAGAGACCUGGAAUCAUGAUUUCAUCUCUAGAAGAGGACAUCUCUUUAAAAUGGUAGUUCCAAGUUGGUUACAAGAGCACUGUGUUUCCAUGAUGCCUGAAUGCAACCUCACUUUCAGGACCCUCCAGUGGUA